rnacentral:lncRNA from 10 species
ACUUAACCUGUGUCUAAAGCACUGCUGGCCGCCGAUUCUACGCCGCCCGGUCGCCAGGGAGAGUGAAUACAGCUAGGGACGUGAAAGAACGGGGAAGAUAACCGAAGGGUGGUUUGAGAAACCCACCAGGCCAACUGGGAAUUAGAAUUGAUUCAAAACUCCAUUGAUCGCCUGACCUCCAUAAGCUCCUACUCUGAUGCUUCUUAGAGACAAGGCCUCACUCCAUUGCCCCUAGGCCAGGCCUGGUGAGUGACAGCAGCCCUGGUGCCCCAGCCUGCUAGGGCAAUGUGUCACCCAGAGGCUUCAAGGCCCUUCUCACCAUGGUACCCACCUCCUCGAAGCUGCCUCCCAAAGCCCUCUAGCUGCUGCUGCAGCCACAACAAGUGCCACCACCAGGGGCCUUCCAGCUGCCAGUGCAGGCUUUCCAGAGCCGGGGACUGGGGAACCUGCAGUCAUCACCUCAGCAAUUCUGGUGGCAGCCAGGCCAGCCAGGGCAGCGAUGAUGACCGUAAUGAAAAGUGGGAUGACAGCUCCACACUGGUGGAUGAGUUGAGAACACCAGGCAGAGGCAUGUACCUGGUCUUUGAUGGUUCAGUGGACCUGCACUACCAUUGCAGUGCAAAGUGCAAGAGUUGAAGCUUGGAAACCUUCACCUAGAUUUAGGAAGAUUCAUGGAAAAGUCUGGAUGUCCACGCAGAAGCCUGCUGCACGAGUGGAACCCUCAUGGAGAAUCUCUACCAGGGCAGUGUGGAGGGGAAAUGUGGGGUUGGAGCCCCCACACAGAGUCCCACUGGAGGACUUCCUAGUGGAGCUAUGAGAAGAGAACCACUGUCCUCCUGACAUCAUAAUGGUAGAUCCACUGGCAGCUUGCACUCUCAGCCUGAAAAAGCUACAAGUACUCAAGGCCAGCCCUUGAGAGCAUCUACAGGUGCUAAACCCUGGAAAGCCACAAGUGUGGUGCUGCCCAAGGCUUUGGGAGCCCACCCCUUGUACCAGCACGCCCUUGAUGUGGGAUAGGAGGUCAAAGGAAGUUAUUUUGGAGCUUUAAGAUUUAAUGACUGCUCUGCUUGGUUUUGGACUUGUGUAGGCUUGUAGCCCCUUUCUUUUGGCCAAUUUCUUCCUUUUAGAAUGGGAAUGUUGAUCCAAUGCCUAUACCCCCAUUGUAUCUUGGAAGUAACAAACUUGUUUCUUAUUUUACAGGGUCAUAGGCAGAAGGGACUAGCCUUGUCUCAGAUAAGACUUUGGACUGUGGACUUUUGAGUUAAUGCUGGAAUGAGUUAAAUAUUUGCAGGACUGUUGAGAAGGCAUGGUAGUUUGUUUGUUUGUUUGUUUGUUUGUUUGUUUGUUUGUUUUUUGAGACAGAGUCUCCCUCUGUCACCAGGCUGGAGUGCAGUGGUGCGAUCGCAGCUCACUGCAAUCUCUGCCUCCUGGGUUCAGAUGAUUCCCCUGCCUCAGCCUCCCCAGUAGCUGGGACUACAGGCCUCCAUCACCAUGCCUGGCUAAUUUUUUGUAUUUUUGUAGAGAUGAGGUUUCACCUUGUUGGCCAGGAUGGUCUCGAUCUCCUGACCUUCUGAUCUGCCUGCCUCGGCCACCCAAAGUGCUGGGAUUACAGGCGUGAACCACUGCACGCAGCCGGUAGUAUUUUGAAAUAUGAGAAGGACAUGAGAUUUGGGAGAGACCAGAGGUGGAACAAUAUGGUUUGAAUCUGUGUCCCCGCCCAAAUCUCAUGUUGAAUUGGAAUCCCCAGUGUUGGAGGUAGGACCUGGUGGAAAGUGAUUGGAUCAUGGGGCGGUUUCUCAUUAAUGGUUUAGCACUAUCCCCUUAGCGCUGUUCUUGUGAGAGAGUUUGCAUGACAUCUGGUUGUUUAAAAGUGUGUGGCACCUCCCCCCACACUUCCUCCUGCUCCAGCCACGUAAGACAUGCCUGUGGCCGGGCGCGGUGGCUCACGCCUGUAAUCCCAGCACUUUGGGAGGCUGAGGUGGGCGGAUCACGAGGUCAGGAGAUCGAGACCAUCGUGGCUAACACGGUGAAACCCCGUCUCUACUAAAAAUACAAAAAAUUAGCCAGGCACGGUGGCGGGCGCCUGUAGUCCCAGCUACUCGGGAGGCUGAGGCAGGAGAAUGGCGUGAACCUGGGAGGCGGAGCUUGCGGUGAGCCAAGAUCGCGCCACUGCACUUCCGCCUGGGCGAAAGAGCGAGACUCCAUCUCAAAAAAAAAAAAAAAAAAAAGCAAAGACGUGCCUGCUACGCUUUCACCUUCCACCAUCAUUGAAAGUUUCCUAAGGCCUCUCCAGAAGCCGAAUAGAUACCAGCAUCAUGCUUCCUGUACAGCCUUUAGAACCAUGAGCCAAUUAAACCUCUUUUCUUUAUAAA